AGAGUGAACGCUGGCGGUAGGCCUAACACAUGCAAGUCGAACGGCAGCACAGUGGUAGCAAUACCAUGGGUGGCGAGUGGCGGACGGGUGAGGAAUACAUCGGAAUCUACCUUUUCGUGGGGGAUAACGUAGGGAAACUUACGCUAAUACCGCAUACGCCCUUCGGGGGAAAGCCGGGGAUCGCAAGACCUGGCGCGGAUAGAUGAGCCGAUGUCGGAUUAGCUAGUUGGUGAGGUAAUGGCUCACCAAGGCGACGAUCCGUAACUGGUCUGAGAGGAUGAUCAGUCACACUGGAACUGAGACACGGUCCAGACUCCUACGGGAGCAGCAGUGGGGAAUA
rnacentral:rRNA from 1 species